rnacentral:tRNA from 1 species
UGCGGGAUGGUGCAACUGGUAACACGUCAGGCUCUGGACCUGAAAUUCCUGGUUCGAAUCCAGGUCCCGCAG